GCCAGUGUGGCGUAGUGGUUUGAGUAUUGGGCUACAACUCUGGAGACCAGGGUUCAAUUCCCCGCUCGGCCA
rnacentral:tRNA from 1 species